UAUCUUUGCCUGUCGAUGCCCUAUCCCCUUUAAAGGGGCGUUUGCAUGGGGGUCACUCUAGAUUCGAGAGAUGUGAGUCCUUGGAGUCAGAGUUGUGGUGAGUGGGACGAUUAAUGUCAAUGGAAGAUAGUUCACGGAAAGCUGUCAGAGCUUUUGGUAUAGACUCCAUGACAGCAGAAUAGAGCCAAGCCCACAACUCAGCAGAGAUUGCUGUGUCUGUCUGAUCAAUUAUUC